UCUUUUUUCUUGUGCUAAUGAAUUUAAUUUAUGAGGCAUACGGAUGCAAAUGUGAUCUGAAAACAAAUAAACAGAAGUUUUGUGAGCCUACUUACGGUAAGCUUAUAAAUUAAUGCAAAUCAAGAUGAUGAAACAAUUUGAACUUGAUAAACAAAAUAAAACUGUAUUAUGUAGGUAGAACAUCUUUUUAUUUGAAGACGUUUGAUGUAAGUGUAAAGCUUUCGAGAUUUCCAUAUAUGGUUUCGUACUGUAAAUAACAGUAAACUUUGCACAACAUGUAUCUUUAAACGAGAGCCUGCCACUAUUCAAGUACGUUGUGUGGUUAAACAUAAACUCAUGACACCCAGACUAGGACCUCGAUCUUCCGUAAAAUGUAUUAAAACAUGAACAAUGCAGCCAGAAGGUCACUUACUUGAACCAAGGAACUUACAAGGCACAUAAUUUUGUAACUACGGGCAAUAUAUUGCUAGGUACUACAGUAAACUAGCUCAUGUAGUUACAGUUGUCGGUUGGAUACCAAACUAAUUAGAAACAUCACUCCUUGUAUGUUUGAUAAAGUCGCAUAGUAAAAACAGCUUGUUUGGCAUCUUUGUGAACACAUUUAUUUCAAACAUAUUCUAUUGUUCAAAAUGGCAAUGGAUCAGAUUCUAGUUUUACAACUUAGUAACGUUAUAAGAAAUAUACACAAUAUUAAUUAUCACAUCAACUUUUCCAUUCUUACAAAUGAUUUACACAUAAAGACAUAAAAAUAAAUAGUAACUUGUUUACAGAAAUCAAUCAAAACAAUUUGCUGCAUCUCUGAACAGGAAGAGGUGACACAACAGAUUUAACAUCUUCAAUAAAACAUUAUCACACAUUAGUUGUACCUUUACGUUCAAAUCUCUGAAUAAAUUAGAAUAUAUAGUCAUGUUGAUAAGAAAAAUAAAGUUGACAUACAUAUCCGAGCAUUUGAUUAAUUCUGCUAUCGCUUAUAUAUAUUUGCAUACGGUAUAUUCUUGUCGAUAUCCUUACUAACACUUACAUUCGAAUUCUGAAUUAAAGUUACUCGAGGAAAAGUCACGAGCAGGAAGUUCUUAAACAGACAUCAAAUUGAGUACACAGUGGACGUCAAUCAUAACUUUAAGGUAGUAUAUAAAUGAUAGUUAUAAGG
rnacentral:lncRNA from 1 species